rnacentral:rRNA from 1 species
CAGGACGAACGCUGGCGGCGUGCCUAAUACAUGCAAGUCGAACGGUCUUUCUAUGGAAGCUUGCUUCCACUGAGAAGAUAGUGGCGAACGGGUGAGUAACACGUGGGUAACCUGCCCAUAAGAGGGGGAUAACAUCCGGAAACGGGUGCUAAUACCGCAUAGUUUUCUUGAUCGCAUGAUCGGGAAAGGAAAGACGGCCUUUGUGCUGUCGCUUAUGGAUGGACCCGCGGCGUAUUAGUUAGUUGGUGAGGUAACGGCUCACCAAGACGAUGAUACGUAGCCGACCUGAGAGGGUGAUCGGCCACAUUGGGACUGAGACACGGCCCAAACUCCUACGGGAGGCAGCAGUAGGGAAUCUUCCGCAAUGGACGAAAGUCUGACGGAGCAACGCCGCGUGAGUGAAGAAAAGGUUUUCGGAUCGUAAAACUCUGUUGUCAGAGAAGAACAAGUUGGAGAGUAACUGCUCCAGCCUUGACGGUAUCUGACCAGAAAGCCACGGCUAACUACGUGCCAGCCGCUGC